rnacentral:rRNA from 1 species
UACGUAGGGCGCAAGCGUUGUCCGGAAUCAUUGGGCGUAAAGAGCUCGUAGGUGGUCUGUUACGUCUGCUGUGAAAACCUAGGGCUUAACCCUGGGCCUGCAGUGGAUACGGGCAGACUAGAGGUAGGUAGGGGAGAAUGGAAUUCCCGGUGUAGCGGUGAAAUGCGCAGAUAUCGGGAGGAACACCGGUGGCGAAGGCGGUUCUCUGGGCCUUACCUGACGCUGAGGCGCGAAAGCGUGGGGAGCAAACAGG